CUUUUUAUUUGCCCACUUAAAAUUUUUCAUUUCCCACUACACAAAUUUCAUUUCCCACUCCACAAAACUCUCUCAUUUUCUCUUUAUCUCUCACACAGCCUCUCACAUUCACACACGCACUACCCUGCCGACACUGAUGAGCAGAGCCCAGCCUAGCGCCGAUGUGCCGAGCCGAGUCGAGCCAAACCCAGUGCUGACGAGGACGAGCCCAGCCCAGCCCAGCGACGUCGCUGACGAGGCCGAUCCUAGCCAUCGACUCCUCUCCUCCUCGAUCUCUCUACCAUCAACCCAUACCCAUUGGCUCUCUCUCCCUCACCACAUGAUUCUUUCUCCCUUUCUCCCUUUCUCCCUCUCUCCCCUUACCAACCCCAUACCCAUUCAUUUUUCCUCACCAUACCCAUACCCAUACCCAUUCCGAUUUUGCUUGGGUACUAGUGCACUAAAGCAUGAAGAGAAGGGCAAAUGGAUUAAGACAAAAUCUUGUGCAGCUGGCUUUAGUAUAGUAAGUAUUCUAAUAUUGAAUAUUUGUAAGCUUGUUUAGUGAAAAAGUUGGCAUCAUACAAUUUUUAAGGAGCAAAGGUUCCAAUGACAUUUGUGGCAGUGGGGGGAGCUCAUCUACUAAAUAGAACACAUUUUGGUUAGUGUUUUAUUUUCCUGCCUAGUAAGCAAGGUUUAUUAACCUCUCAUUGUCUUGGAUAUUUGUGGAAUUUUGAGGUCUUACAAACAUUUUUUUGGUUGCAAAUGGUUUAGGUACUCUUGGAUAUUCUCUUGACAUCUUAGGGAUCUAGGACAUUCUUUUUUUUGGUUUCAUUUUAGGGAUCUAUGAAAUUCAUUUUUUACUUUCAAACUAACAUUAAAAAAUGUUAGUUUGGAGACAUUUGUAGUGUUGUUAAUUAGUUACAUUUGUGGUAUUGUCUCAGUAGAGCUAAAAUUAUUACAGGUUUUUUGUAAUAGGUUUGUGGUUUUAAAACCCAGGGAAAAAAAAAAAUUUUAACCUAUAGCGGUGGGCAACAAGCACCGCUAAAGGUCUAAAAUUAUGUUUUAAAUGAAGCCCUAUAGCGGCAUUUAUGGCUCGCCGCUAAAGCUUAACACAUAGUGGCGGUCAUAACCGCCUCUAAGAGGUGCAUAUGCUCUGUUUUUACAUGAAGCCCUAUAGUGGCGCUUAUUACCCGCCGUUAAAGGUUGUCACCUAUAGCGGCACACAUAACCCACCACUGAAGGUCAAUUGACCUGAAUUCUAACAUCAUAUGGCGGCGGUUUUCUGCUCGCCACAAUAAAUCAAAACUGCACUAAAAGGUGCAUCUGCAGUGGCACUUUUUGUUACCGCCGCAAUAGAUCUACAGCGGCACCGCAACGGUGACGGGAAGGAUUACCGCAAUAACACCCGCUGCAAUAGCCUGUUUUUCUUGUACUGUGCUAAAAAGGAUAAGUGGAUAUUAAGAAAUUUCAAUUAAGAUAGGAGUAGUCUUUAUUGAUGAAAGGAUGAGGAAGAGUCACUUAAAAUCGUUCGAUCAUAUGCAAAGGAGAGCAGUCAGUGCACCAGCAAAAAAGAGUUUAUCCAAUUGAGAGAAUUGAAAAAGAUAGAAGAAGACCAAAAAUAAUAAAGAAUACAUGUAUAUGACUCUAAAUAGAAUAGAAUGGACACAGAAUUCAUAUGAUGGGUUUUGGAAAUUUAUAUUUUUUUUGAGCUUUUACAUGGCAUAAAAGAAUAGAUAUUUCUCACUUCUUAUGGAUUUGUUAUUCUUUAAAAAUAACUAUUCAAUUCUUCUUAAAAAGUAAAAAGGGAAAAACUAUUCACUAUAAUUAAAAUAUAGAAUGUAGCCAAAUAACCAUUCACGAUGAAUAGUCAUAUUCAUAUGCAUGUGUACCAAAAUGUGAAUAUAAUACAUGAAACACAUGCACUAGUAGCACGCUGAUUCUUUAUAAGUUAUCUUUCUUUUUCACUUUCAAUUCCAGGGUUGAAGUUAAAACAGGAAAACUCAAAGCAAUCUCAAGCCCAUGAACUGUUUAAACAAUGUCUUCAGGCUUACAAAAAUGAUGUCGAGAAUUUUGACGAAAUCCCAGAAAUUUUACAAGUUUUGUCUGUCGCAGCAGAAGUAGGCAAUGUUGAGUUCUUGGUCAAGCUUAUUUGUUUUGACUCUGAUCUAUUAUGGAAAACAAAUAACAAAAAAAGCAUAUUUCACAUUGCUGUUGAGAAGCGCCAUGAAAGCAUAUUCAAACUACUAAUAGGUCCAAUUAGAGAUAUAAUAGUAGAUAAAAUACAUGAAGAUGGAAACAAAAUAUUGCAUUUAGCUGCAAGAUUGGCACCUCAAGAGAAGCUCAAUGCUAUAUCAGGAGCAGCUCUCCAAAUGUAGCGAGCAAUAUUAUGGUUCAAGUUACUUAUUCAUAUGUAUUUAAUAAGUUUUGAACUAGUAAAUAGUACAUGAGGUAGCAGUAAAUUUAAGAUUAAAUCUAAUGUACAUAUUUCAAUUCUAUUUAAUGGAUAUGUUGCCUUGAGAAUUGUUUAGAUUAAA